UGGGGAAUAUUGGACAAUGGGGGCAACCCUGAUCCAGCAAUGCCGCGUGUGUGAAGAAGGCCUGCGGGUUGUAAAGCACUUUCAGUAGAGAAGAAAAGCUUAGGGUUAAUACCCCUGAGUCUUGACGUUACCUACAGAAGAAGCACCGGCUAACUCCGUGCCAGCAGCCGCGGUAAUACGGAGGGUGCAAGCGUUAAUCGGAAUUACUGGGCGUAAAGCGCGCGUAGGUGUUUGUGUAAGUCGGAUGUGAAAGCCCAGGGCUUAACCUUGGAAUUGCAUCCGAUAUUGCAUGACUAGAGUAUGGUAGAGGGGAGUGGAAUUUCCGGUGUAGCGGUGAAAUGCGUAGAUAUCGGAAGUAACACCAGGGGCGAAGUCGACUUCCUGGGCCAAUACUGACACUGAGGUGCAAAAGCGUGGGGAGCAAACAGGAUUAGAUACCCCCGUAGUCC
rnacentral:rRNA from 1 species